AGAGUUUGAUCCUGGCUCAGGACGAACGCUGGCGGCGUGCCUAAUACAUGCAAGUCGAGCGAACAGAGAAGGAGCUUGCUCCUUCAACGUUAGCGGCGGACGGGUGAGUAACACGUGGGCAACCUACCUUAUAGUUUGGGAUAACUCCGGGAAACCGGGGCUAAUACCGAAUAAUCUGUUUCGCCUCAUGGUGAAACACUGAAAGACGGUUUCGGCUGUCGCUAUAGGAUGGGCCCGCGGCGCAUUAGCUAGUUGGUGAGGUAACGGCUCACCAAGGCGACGAUGCGUAGCCGACCUGAGAGGGUGAUCGGCCACACUGGGACUGAGACACGGCCCAGACUCCUACGGGAGGCAGCAGUAGGGAAUCUUCCACAAUGGGCGAAAGCCUGAUGGAGCAACGCCGCGUGAGUGAAGAAGGAUUUCGGUUCGUAAAACUCUGUUGUAAGGGAAGAACAAGUACAGUAGUAACUGGCUGUACCUUGACGGUACCUUAUUAGAAAGCCACGGCUAACUACGUGCCAGCAGCCGCGGUAAUACGUAGGUGGCAAGCGUUGUCCGGAAUUAUUGGGCGUAAAGCGCGCGCAGGCGGUCCUUUAAGUCUGAUGUGAAAGCCCACGGCUCAACCGUGGAGGGUCAUUGGAAACUGGAGGACUUGAGUGCAGAAGAGGAGAGUGGAAUUCCACGUGUAGCGGUGAAAUGCGUAGAGAUGUGGAGGAACACCAGUGGCGAAGGCGACUCUCUGGUCUGUAACUGACGCUGAGGCGCGAAAGCGUGGGGUAGCGAACAGGAUUAGAUACCCUGGUAGUCCACGCCGUAAACGAUGAGUGCUAAGUGUUAGAGGGUUUCCGCCCUUUAGUGCUGCAGUUAACGCAUUAAGCACUCCGCCUGGGGAGUACGGCCGCAAGGCUGAAACUCAAAGGAAUUGACGGGGGCCCGCACAAGCGG
rnacentral:rRNA from 1 species